rnacentral:lncRNA from 1 species
UUCUAUAACUACCUUUAGGUUAAUUUGAAGUCAUUUUCUUCUUGCUUGCUUUAGAAGUAAUCAAUUUAAAAACUGAUGGAGUAGGUUUUUUCUCGAAAACAACCAACAUUCUUUUAUCCUUAUCCUUAUUCUCAGCUAUGUUUGCCCAUGUUUCCUAAUUCUUAGCAAUGCAUGCAUCAUUGUCCAACUAUUGAUCUGCAAGAGCAUCAAACCUAUUUUGUUGUUCCACAUUUCCUUUGCUUAUUCCAACUUGAUUCAGUAAUUGGUCUCGUGCCUUACCAUGUUGGACCUUGUCUUUUGUAUUUUCAAUUUCAAAUCUUUCCCCAUUUUUAUCCAAUGAAUGAGUCGAAUCAUCUACUUUAAUCACGUCAAUCACAUUCUCAACUUCACUAACUUUGUAAUAUCCCCGCCUUCCAUUUUAACUUCACAUAUUUCUUUGAUACCAUGUAUUUUUUGUUAAGUUUGUUUUUAUUUUAUUUUUCUUGAAUUUCAUCAUCAUUCACUUGCAAGAUUUUUGCAUAUAUCAACAUAGUGUCCUUUCAUUUUAAAAUGUGUGCAAAUAUCAGGAGAAUUUUCACUCUCUGCAAGAAUCAUGUUUCUCAAGGUAUGAGUUAAUUCAAUACCCACUGACACUCUUACCUAAUGUUUAAAAGUUAUGUCAUACAUCACUUUUAUGGCAAUAACAUCGAUAGGGUUGAGGGUUCAAAUGUUUCUAGCAAUGGGAAACAAAAUUUUAGGGCGUCAAUACUCCUACGACAAACAAUACAACUACGGGUGUGAAAAAAAAACAAUUUACAUAAAUUAUUUUAGAACAUAUGGUGCAACUAUUUUAAAAGGCCAAACCAUUUUAUAUUAAAGUGAACCCAUAUCUAUUUCAUUGAAUAAAAAUAAAACCGGAUUCCUGUAUAAAGAACCAAUUCUUAAAGAAUUUAAUUAAAAUACGGCGAUAGUGAUUUUACACGGUCAAUUAAUUGUUGAAUGUUGGGAGAUGUUUGACUUUUAUUUUAACCGCCUAUAAAAUAAUGUAAACUGAUGAUGAUGGUGAAUUGACGGUGUAAAAUUUAUUAUACGGUAAAUUAAUCUUAUUUUUAAAUGGUUAACUUUAAUUUCACUCACUUAUAUCAAUUUUUUUUUUCACAUUUUUUUCUUCUUCUUUACUAGAAUUUCUUCAUUAACGCUUGGUUGUUUUAAGAUAGCAUUUUUCUACCGGAGUCUUCACUCACACCAUCUUUUUAGUUCCCAUUAUUAAGAAUAAUAAACCAAGUGUGAGUUAGAGUUCUACAUUAGUUAUAAAUAUAGAGACUUGGGUAUUUAUAAGUGAGAUAACUCACAUACCUAUCAUCUUAGAGUUUUGGAUGAAUAUGUAAUGUCUUUUUUACUUGUGUGUUGCUCUUAACCCAAUAUUGAUGUUCCAUCUCAUGACCCAACAUCCAUCAGAUAUCUGGUAUGUUCGUUCUCGGAGACAAUAUAAUCAUUUUGUUUAUUCCUUUUGUAAAUUUUUAGUGUAUGUUCGUGUUCAUUCUUGUUAGAGAGGUCAAUAUUGAACACACAAUAUCUAUUUUAAAUCCUUUUUAUUUUUUGCUUUAUGAUGAGAAUAAUGCGAUAAUCGAUAAUGACGAUAACUGCAAUAACAACAAUCUGUUACAAACCAAAUGGGUCCCAACAACACAAACAAAGGAAAAAAUGAAAUAGACAACAGCAACUCCAAUAUUGUGCCAAGAGAAAGGCCCAAAAGAUCAGCCCAAAUGCCCAUUAGGUUCAGAAUGUGAACAAAUAUCUUGUGGUGAUAAGUUUAUGAGCUGUCAUAGUACUAUCUCCAGCCUUUAUUACCGUUAGUACCUGGCAAUAUUUAGGAUAAGAAUAAUUUUGUUUCUCUUCUUCAAAUGUAGUAGAUGCUGACAAGUGUCUCUAGAUCCUAUAAUUAAGGCACAAUUGUAAUCUUUGCAGUCUAUUUAAGGACACAAAAAGUAAUGAAAAAGCAGAAAAUUAUUAUCCCAAAAUCUAUCUUUCCCCUCAGACUUUCCCUGUCACAAGGGAAUUUAAUUCCUGCAUUUUUUUCCUUAACAUUUGGUGCUCUCAUUACUUGAUAUCAUGCCUCCCCGACAACAACCAUCUGAACCACCUACCCUCCAACAACUACAAGAAUCCAUUAAUAACCUCACUGCAGCCUUUUCCUCUUUCCGGAACACUCAAGACCAACGCCAUGAGGAUUAUUUAGCUUCCAUGGAAUCUCUACAAUCCCAAAUUCCUGUCCAAGCCCAGAUUUCUCCUAGCCAAGGCACCUCGCACACAGAUCUCACGAUGAAACCACCCAAGUUACGCCUCUUGCCUUUUGACGGCACAAACCCCCUCGAUUGGGUCUUCCAAGCUAACCAGUUUUUCGCUCACUACGCCAUUCCCCACCACCAACGAUUAGCUCACGUUGCCGGCUACAUGACUGGUGACGCCCUUGGUUGGUACCAAUGGAUGUUCAACAAUCACCUCCUUUCAACAUGGGAGGCGUUCACACGAGCUUUGGAGGUUCGUUUUGGACCCUCUGCUUACGACAACCAUCAACAAGCCCUUUUCAAACUCAAACAAACAGCAUCAGUUGCUGACUAUCAACGGGAUUUUGAACGUCUUUGUAAUAGGGUAACAGGUCUAUCACCUUUGGCUAUCACUGACUAUUUUGUCUCAGGUUUAAAAUUCCAUAUCCAAAAUGAACUUGCUGUCCAUCAACCUACAUCCAUUUCCCAGGCCAUAGGCCUUGCAAAACUCAUUGAAUCCAAAACCUCUGUCACACGGCCUUUCCAAGCUACUACAUCUAAAUAUCCAAAACCCCCGCUUCUCCCCACCCAUCCCACACAUAUUUCACCACCACAAAGCACCGAUCCUUUAACAGAUGCACAACUCAUUCAAACCUUUCACCCUGACAUACAACCUAUCCUUAAUAACUACCUUCCCAUUUUCCCAAAACCACAAGGUUUACCACCUUCAAGAUAUCAUGACCAUCACAUUCACCUCCAACCCAAUGCUACUCCUAUCAACAUUAAACCAUACCGAUACCCCCACUAUCAAAAAGAAACCAUGACCAACCUUAUUAAAGAAAUGUUGCAAGAUGGGAUAAUCCAACCUAGCACGAGCCCAUAUUCCUCACCCGUCCUACUAGUGAAAAAAAAAGAUGGUUCCUGGCGGUUUUGCGUAGAUUAUAGGGCUCUUAACAACAUCACCAUCAAGGACCGUUUCCCCAUACCAACCAUUGAUGAGCUCUUAGAUGAGUUACACGGAGCAACCUAUUUCUCCAAAAUUGAUUUAAGGUCCGGUUACCACCAAAUUCGUUUAGUUCCGGAAGAUUUUCACAAAACUGGUUUUCGCACGUUUGACGGCCACUAUGAAUUUCUAGUGAUGCCUUUCGGCUUAUCUAACGCCCCCUCAACCUUCCAAGCCGCCAUGAAUGACCUCCUUCGACCCUACCUCCGCAAAUUCACCCUCGUCUUCUUUGACGACAUCUUAA